UACAGAGGGUGCGAGCGUUAAUCGGAAUUACUGGGCGUAAAGGGCGCGUAGGCGGUGAUAUAAGUGAUGUGUGAAAUCCCUGGGCUUAACCUAGGAACUGCACGUCAGACUGUAUCGCUAGAGCAUGGCAGAGGGCAGUGGAAUUUCCGGUGUAGCGGUGAAAUGCGUAGAGAUCGGAAGGAACACCAGUGGCGAAGGCGACUGCCUGGGCCAAUGCUGACGCUGGGGCGCGAAAGCCAGGGGAGCGAACGGG
rnacentral:rRNA from 1 species